rnacentral:rRNA from 1 species
GUGUGCUAAGCCACCCUGAACGAGCCUGAUCCCGUCUGAUCUUGGAUGCUAAGCAGGGUUGGGCCUGGUUAGUACUUGGAUGGGAGACCACGUAGGAAGACCAGGUGCUGUAGGCG